rnacentral:rRNA from 1 species
AUUGAACGCUGGCGGCAUGCUUUACACAUGCAAGUCGAACGGUAACAGGCCGCAAGGUUCUGACGAGUGGCGAACGGUUGCGUAAUGCAGCGGAACGUGCCCAGACGUAGGUUAUAACUAGUCGAAAGAGUAGCAAAUACCGCAUACUAUCUCUUAAGGAAUACGGGUGACCGUAAGGCCUCUCGCGAUUUUACCGGCCGAUGUCAGAUUAGGUAGUUGGUGGGGUAAAGGCUCACCAAGCCAACGAUCUGUAGCUGGUCUGAGAGGACGAGCAGCCACACUGGGACUGAGACACGGCCCAGACUCCUACGGGAGGCAGCAGUGGGGAAUUUUGGACAAUGGGCGCAAGCCUGAUCCAGCAAUGCCGCGUGCAGGAAGAAGGCCUUCGGGUUGUAAACUGCUUUUGUACGGAAAGAAACGGAUCUGGUUAAUACCCGGGGCUAAUGACGGUACCGUAAGAAUAAGCACCGGCUAACUACGUG